rnacentral:rRNA from 1 species
AUGCUUGUGCCGCAGGGCAUCAACAUGAAGGAGAUCACGACGAAGAAGAAGAAGAAGAUGAAGAAGCCGUCGGUUGUCGUUAGUGCUGGCGAGACCGAUGAGGAGGCGAUGGCGAGGUUUGCUCGGGAGCAUCCGGAGUACGUCCAGGCCGAGCUGGAGUACUACUGGAAGCGUGAGGCGGAGCAGAAGAAGAAGGGGCCGAAGAAGGAGGAUGAGGCCGGUCCCUCGACGGUGAUCCCCAUCGAGUCCUCUUCCGAGGAGGACUGGGCAGACUUCGAGGAGGAGGAGGAGGAGGAGGGGUGCGACGACCCAACGAAGGAGGAGUUCUGGGAGCAGUUCCGUAGCUCCGAUGAGGAGUAG